rnacentral:tRNA from 1 species
GCAAAUAGUGGGAUACUAAUUUGCCCUCCGAAGGCAGGGGUCACAGGUUCGAAUCCUGUCGGGUGCGCCA